GUGGGCAUGCCGGAGUGUUUAUCGGGCAUAACUUGAAAUCAUGUGGGCUUUGCCCGCGCAGGUUCAAAUCAUACUGCUCACG
rfam:Ipomoea nil DNA, scaffold: scaffold2283, cultivar: Tokyo-kokei standard.